rnacentral:tRNA from 1 species
GAAUGUGCAGCUUAGUAGCCUUAGUUUUGCAAAAACUAAUGAGAAUUUUGAUAGUUCCACGUUUU